rnacentral:rRNA from 1 species
AUUGAACGCUGGCGGCAUGCCUUACACAUGCAAGUCGAACGGCAGCACGGGGGCAACCCUGGUGGCGAGUGGCGAACGGGUGAGUAACAUAUCGGAACAUACCCUAGAGUGGGGGAUAACGUGGCGAAAGUUACGCUAAUACCGCAUACGAUCUAAGGAUGAAAGUGGGGGAUCUUCGGACCUCAUGCUCAUGGAGUGGCCGAUAUCUGAUUAGCUAGUUGGUGAGGUAAAGGCUCACCAAGGCGACGAUCAGUAGCUGGUUUGAGAGAACGACCAGCCACACUGGAACUGAGACACGGUCCAGACUCCUACGGGAGGCAGCAGUGGGGAAUUUUGGACAAUGGGGGCAACCCUGAUCCAGCAAUGCCGCGUGAGUGAAGAAGGCCUC